CUCCCCCGGCCCUGCGCCCCCGCAGCUGUCGGGGAGCGGCCCGGGGAGGGGGCGGAAAGAAGUCACUCCCCUCCUGAGAGGUGUUGUCGUCCCCCUUUGGCUUUCGCCAGCUCCCCAGUGCGCACACUUGAGCCCGGCUCACCGGUCCCUGCCCUUGCUUCACCAGAGAUGUCCUUGACUGGGUUUGGAAUGGGGAGGGGAAAUACAAGCUUUUUAAUUAAAAUAGCUCAGGAGUAUUUCAGCAGCACUCCAGAUCCCUGUGUGUCUGUCCCCCCAGCAGUAAACACAUGGUGAAAAAUGAGCUGGGCAGUGUAGCCUGUGAAUAGGAUUUACCACUUGGAAGGAACCCAACACAGAGCAUGAGAAAGGCUGUUGUGGCACCUUUGUUCCUGUGAGCAGGAUGAACUCUUACAUCCUCUAGGACUUUGUGGCCUUGCAACAAUGGGGCAAGAAGUAAUAAAGUGGCAGAAAAUUUGGGAGUAGGGAGGAGAAAUCUAACUGUGAAUGUACUGGAAGACUGGAAUAGCUGGCCUGAAGAGAUUAAAGGUUGUCUGUUAUGAAAUUCUUUAGGAAGAAAAAA